rnacentral:rRNA from 1 species
UACAGAGGUCUCAAGCGUUGUUCGGAUUCAUUGGGCGUAAAGGGUGCGUAGGCGGCGCGGUAAGUCGGGUGUGAAAACUCUGGGCUCAACCCAGAGCCUGCAUUCGAUACUGACGGGCUAGAGUACUGGAGGGGAAAGCGGAAUUCCUGGUGUAGCGGUGAAAUGCGUAGAUAUCAGGAGGAACACCGGUGGCGAAGGCGGCUUUCUGGACAGUAACUGACGC